AGUCCAGCAACAUAUGUAGAACGGAAAUUGUGUUGGAAUUCUAAUCCAAUAGGUCAUGGGUUCGAAUCCCAUCUGGAUGG